AAAGUCGUAACAAGGUUUCCGUAGGUGAACCUGCGGAAGGAUCAUUACAACGUAUCCACGUAUAAACCAAACUGUGAACUGUUUCCCUUUGGAGUGGCAAUUGCAAACUGGAUCAGGACCUUAAUGUGAUGGGACUGAUUUGGGCUACUCUGAAGUGGUAAAAAUCGCAUUUAACAAUAACAUUAACCCUUUGAACCUUAUAAUGAACUGAACUGUGGAUGCUUUGUUUUCUUAAAUGUAAAACAACUCAUCUGCCUUAUAUUACGAAACAAAAGAACAACUCUUAACAACGGAUAUCUUGGUUCUC
rnacentral:misc_RNA from 1 species